GACGGAAGGUGCAAGCGUUGCUCGGAAUCACUGGGCGUAAAGGGUGCGUAGGCGGCUUGGUAGGUCGGGUGUGAAAGCCCCGGGCUCAACCUGGGAAUUGCAUUCGAGACUGCAUUGCUGGAGUACGGAAGAGGAAGGCGGAAUUCCCGGUGUAGCGGUGAAAUGCGUAGAUAUCGGGAGGAACAUCAGUGGCGAAGGCGGCCUUCUGGUCCAGUACUGACACUCAAGUGCGAAAGCGUGGGGAGCAAACAGG
rnacentral:rRNA from 1 species